UAAACUGGCGUGACAGGAGUUCCGGGAUUGUCCACAGCACGGUGAUGUGGAAGCCCUGGGGAGAGAAUGAUAAAGAAAGGGGAUGAGGAACAGCUCCACCCGGAAGAGCGGGCUUCCCUAGCAAAUGAAUCUGGAAGGGCGCAGGGGAGGGGGCACGGCGAGUUCAGAUGGACCGAGGCUGGAAGCUGACGCGGUUGGAGGGGGAUGGGUGUAGCUGUUGGCAGUGGCGCUGGGGUGGAAGUGUGUGGGGUCACAGAUGUGUAAGGGUGGGCGCGGAGCAGACCCCCGAAGGUCCCUGAGGUCAGGCUGAGGCAUUGGACCAAAUCCGUACAUAGGCAUUUCUCUGAACUGCGCGCCACCUUUUGAGUGCCAUCUGUUUCCGUCCAGGACUCUGAUACAACUAUCCAGUCCGCUGCAGGGACCGGUCACUGUGUCACAGGUUCUCCAGAGGGCCAGAACUAACAGGAUAUAUGUAUAUAUUGAAAGGGAGUAUAUUAGGGAGAACUGGCUGACAGGAUCAUCAGGCAAAGUCCCACUAUAGUCCAUCUGCAAGCUGAGGAAGGAAGAAGCCAGUCACGUCUC
rnacentral:lncRNA from 10 species